CCCUUAGAUGUUCUGGGCCGCACGCGCGCUACACUGAUGCAUUCAACGAGUCUAAAACCUGCUCUGAUAGGGGUGGGUAAUCUUUUGAAUGUGCAUCGUGAUUGGGAUAGAUGAUUGCAAUUUUUCAUCUUCAACGAGGAAUGCCUAGUAAACGCAAGUCAUCAGCUUGCAUUGAUUACGUCCCUGCCCUUUGUACACACCGCCCGUCGCUCCUACCGAUUGAAUGAUCCGAUGAAUAUCAUGGAUUGAGGAUGCAAGCAGGUUCGCCUGUCUUCAUCUUCGAGAAGUGAAGUAAAUCUUAUCAUUUAGAGGAAGGAGAAGUCAUAACA
rnacentral:rRNA from 1 species